CCUACGGGAGGCAGCAGUAAGGAAUAUUGGUCAAUGGGACGCAAGUCUGAACCAGCCAUGCCGCGUGCAGGAUGAAGGCCCUCUGGGUUGUAAACUGCUUUUAUAGGGGACGAAAAAGGGACUUUCUAGUUCAACUGACGGUACCCUAGGAAUAAGCACCGGCUAACUCCGUGCCAGCAGCCGCGGUAAUACGGAGGGUGCAAGCGUUAUCCGGAUUUACUGGGUUUAAAGGGUGCGUAGGUGGGUUGGUAAGUCAGCGGUGAAAUCUUCAAGCUUAACUUGGAAACUGCCAUUGAUACUAUCAAUCUUGAAUCAUCUGGAGGUAAGCGGAAUAUGUCAUGUAGCGGUGAAAUGCUUAGAUAUGACAUAGAACACCAAUUGCGAAGGCAGCUUACUACGGAUGUAUUGACACUGAGGCACGAAAGCGUGGGGAUCAAACAGGAUUAGAUACCCUGGUAGUCCACGCCCUAAACGAUGGAUACUCGACAUACGUGAUAUACUAUGUGUGUCUGAGCGAAAGCAUUAAGUAUCCCACCUGGGAAGUACGAUCGCAAGAUUGAAACUCAAAAUGAAAUUGACGG
rnacentral:rRNA from 1 species